rnacentral:lncRNA from 1 species
GACAGCGGUAGAUUCACAAAAAAGGGUGACCAUCGUCUCCAUCUCUCUCCCAUUCUUAAUAGAGAAGCGACAUACCAGCCCCAAGAGGAAAAAUCGGACACCUCCCUUUAGAAAUCAGCUGUCACCCAACACCUCUACUCCAGCUCCAAAAGCGCAACAUCUACACCUCUCAAAACCAUCAUUAAAACUCCAUUUCUAGCCAUGGGAGUAGCCUGAAAACUCCAUAAAGUAAGCUGAAGCUUCAGCACAAAAUCAACUGAAAUACUACCUUAAAAACGCCAUUAAAACAACUCCAAAAUCCUCCAUUAAUCAUGUUGAAGUUCUGUGCUGGAGGUCGUCGCCGACGAGGUUUCCGUUCAGCAGCUCUGGUUCAAUUCGUGAGAGUUUCUUUUCGUAAAUCUGAUGCCUGUGUCAUUUUGUUCUGUGGUUCCUAUUUUCAAAAUAAUAAAGGAAUUUCUAUGCCUUGUCGUGCUCUGACUGUAGUCAUGUUGGAAUCUUCAACUGGAUAGGUUUUUAGUAAACGCCAUAUUGCUAUUGACAGUAAGAAUAUCAUUGCUUGUGUUAUACACAGAAAUUAAGUUUCGUAAAUACUCAUUAUCAUGACAUAUUACUGAUUGCAAGAACUAUAUUGCUGAAAAUUCAUUCUAAUCUUGGUUGUAUGCAACUUCAUUCUGUAAUAUUAUUUUUAGAAUUUAAUCAAUUGAAUUUGAUGCCACGUAUUUUGAUAACACAGUUACCAUUUACCUUCUCGUAAGCUCCUAGUUGAUCAGUGAUAUGCGACAUAAGUUCUUCGGUCCAUGACAAGGAUAUGCUUUUCGCUAGAACUUGAAUAGUAUAUAGUUUUACUCUACAUCCAUUGACUACAUUAAUCUCCAAAUUACGAAUAAAUAACUCAUGAACAUCUUUGCUUGCUUUAGGUGCGAUUAAUAAUAAAUCAUUGUGGCUAUGUGUACGGUUCCUGUGGCAUAGCCAUGAUACAUAAAUCCAAUUCCGGGAGUGCAUUUCAUGUGACCCGAUCACAACUUCUAAUAAUAAUAAAAUAAACAUGUUGUAAAUUGCGGGUGCAUUUCAUGUGGUGUGGUUUGCAAUGUGUACCAAAACAACAAGUGUACGACAAUCGUGACUUGUUCAGGGAAAUAAUUCUAUAAAUAUUAAAAGCGGUUAGAAAGUUAAAAAUGCACAUAGGUUUAAAAUGCGUAUAAAAUUAGAUAAUUAGGCCAAUUAUUAAUAGUCGAGCGACCGUGCUAAAACCACGGAACCGGGAAAUGGCUAACACCUUCUUCCGGGUUAACAGAAUUCCUUACCCAAAUUUUUGUAUUUCGCGGACUAUAAAACAGAGUUAAACUUUCUCGAUUCGGGAUUUUAAACCGGUGACUUGGGACACCAUAAAUUAUCCCAGUGGCAACUCUGAAUUUGAAUAUAAAUAAUCCUGUUUCGAUUAUCGUCACUUUAAUUAGAAAAACUCCCUAUACCUUCGGGAAAAAGGAGGUGUGAUAGCUCUGGCGACUCUGCUGGGGAAAAAAACCCAGAACUUCUGGUUCAGGAUUCUGAAUUCGAGCUUAGAAUAACUAUUAUAGUUGGCUUUUAUUUAUUAUCUGAUUUUUACAUGUUUGAGCCUAAUGUGGUAAAUGUCGCUUUUUACCGCUUUGAUAUUGCUUGGAUUGUAUAUUAACUGUUACGAAACCUUCUUCUCUCUAAGUCUUCUAAAUCAUCUGGGAAGCAUGCACUUCGUGUGACUUCUUUUCUGUUAGAGUCAUAUCCCAAUUUUAGAACGAGGUUCGGAUAAGUUGCAAAGCCGAUGAAGCUUCUGUAAUCCCGAUACGCUGCCCCCCCCCCCGGCUCGACUUAUCCGCUCGGCUAAGCUAGGUCUAGAAUAAUACACUUAGGUUUAAACCUAAAAAGACAUAACCUCAUGCCGGAUCCCUAGUAGACACGUUUGUUUGCAUCAUGUGCAUUUAACUUUAGGGACUCAACACAGGGGUUGAGUCCGUCUAGGACAGGUGUACCCAAAAUUAAAAGACCAUCCUGAUGCAUCCUACGUGCUAUAUUGUACUGACCCGGCCGGUCAUUUCAUGAGUUACCACUUUGUUUCCCCUAUUUCAGCUUUCUUAUGUGUUGUUCAUCUAUAUUUCAUCGUAUCGUGUUGGUUGGUUAGAGUUUGGAGUAGUUUUGGAGUGCUAUGAGACACCUAGUCUCUUAAGUUGGUCAUUUAGUUGGAAAAAACAACCGGAAGUUGACUUGAGAGUAAACAAUCUCGGAAUUUGGUUUUUAUAGUUCGAAUAGCUUUGUUAGGUGAUUCGGGACUUAGGAGCAUAUUCGGAAUGUAAUUUGGAUGUCCGUGGUAGAUUUAUGCUUGAAUUGGCAAAAAUGGAAAUUUGGCGUUUUCCGGUUGGCAGUGGAAAUCUUGAUAUAGAGGUCGAAAUGGAAUUCUGGAAAUUGGAGUAGGUCCGUAUUGUCAUUUGUGACGCAUGUGCAAAAUUUCAGGCCAUUCCGAGUUGAUUUGAUAUGUUUCGGCGUAGUUUUUGGAAUUGGAAAGUUUCUAAGCUCUUAGGCUUGAAUCAGAGGUUGAUUUGGUGUUUUAGUAUUGUUUUGAGUGAUUCGAAGGCUCGAAUAAGUUUUAAUGAUGUUAUGGGAGGUGUUGGCAUAUUUGGUUGAGGUCCCGAGGACCUCGGGUGAGUUUCGGGAGGUUAUUGGACCAAAUUCUUGGUUUUGAGAGUUGCCGAUUUUUCUUCUAUUCUGUUGCAGAGAUUUUUUCUUGUGUUCGCGAGAGGGCCUCACGUUCGCGAAGGGUUAUUGAGAGAGGCAGCUGGUUUGUUCUUCGCUUUCGCGAUGUAGGUCUCGCAUUCGCGAAGGUUCAUGAGUUAAAGCUACGCGUUUGCGGGGAGUGUUCAGCGUUUGCAUAGGGUCGGCUGUUUGGUCUUCGCGUUUGUUGGUGGGUCCUCGCGUUCGCGAAGAAGGUAAUAUUGGCCUGAGGCAAUUUUUGCUUCACGAACGCGAGGGAGCUACCACAUUCGCGAAAAAGGAAAUAAUAGCUGGGCAGAAUGUUUAAAUAGAGGUCUUCGCGAUUUUUGGCUAAUUUCUCACCAUUGUUGAGCGGUUUUGAAGCUUUUUGAGAGGGAUUUGAAGGAAACACUUGGAGGUAAGAUUUUUGGAUUCAAUACUCGAUUCUAUGGUGAUUUCUAACUAAUUAGACAUGAAAUUAGUGGGAUUUAAAGCCUAAAAUUGGAGAAUUAGAGCUUAAAAUUGGGGAGUGUAAAUUGGGGAUUUGAGGGGCUAUUUGAGGUCCGAUUUGAUGUUUUUGGUAUGUAUGGGAUUGUGGGAGGAUGAGGAUUCUAUUGAUGUGAUUUUUAUCGGAUUCCACGACGUGGGCCCGGGGUCGGGUUUGACCAAUUUCUGGAUUUUUGAUGUAAUUUGAUUAUUUUCGCAUGGACUUUGUUCCCUUAGCGUAUAUUGAUGUUAUGAUUCUAAUUUUGGAUAGAUUCGAGGCGAGUUGAGGCCGAGUCGAGAGGCAAGGGUGUCACAGAGUAGGAUUUCAUCUUGUUUGAGGUAAGUAACGAUUGUAAAUCUAGACGUGAGGGUAUGAAACCCCUUAAUUUCGUACUGUUUGAUAAAUGAGGUGACGCACAUGCUAGGUGAUGGGCAUGUGGGUUUGCACCCAUAGGGAUUAUGACUUGGUCCGUCCCGUGGCGACUGUAUAGUUGCAUAUUUUGAUAUACUGUAAAUGAUAUCCAUGUGUUUAAAAAUGAAUUUGUUAACUUGGGCUAAAUGCCAAGUUUGGGACAUUUGUGCCGAACUGUUUAGACCUUUAGGGGUAUUUUACUACUUUCCUCACACUGUCUUAAUUUGAAAGAAUAUCCUCAGUCAUGUUUUACUUAUUUAUUGUUUAACCCGGUUUCAUUACUCUACUUCUUAAUAUAUGAAAACUGUUUGGGUUGAGUUUUCCUGAUUUUCACUGAAAUGCCCGAGUGGCCGUGAGGUUAAUGACUGAGAGAGGUUGGGGAACUAAUGGUGAGGAUUAUAUAUAUAUUAUGGAUCGAUCAGCACGCCACAUAUAUAUAUAUAUAUAUAUAUAUAUACUGGCUGCACGCUGCAGCGAUAUAUAUUGGAUCGGGCUGCACGGCGCAGCGAUAUGAUAUUUGGGAUGUAGGAGCCCCUCCGGAGUCUGUACACCCCCUAUGAGCGUAGUCGACUAUAUAUUAAGGAUCAGGCUGGAUGCCAUAGCAGUUAUUAUUAUGAGAUAGCUAUUGAGUUGGAGUGUAGAGUGUGAGUACUGAUUGACGAGAGCUGAGUCACGAGUGACUGAGAGGCUUGCUCGAGAGGCUAUACUUAUGAGUGAUACUUUGCCCGAGGGGCUUGUUUGUGAGAUUUUAUAUUUUUCACUCUUCUUUUAUACUGAGCCUUUAUUAAAAAAUAUUGAAUAAAUGCUUUAACGGAUUUUUGUUAAAACUGAAGUUUUUUUACGAGGUAAUUGGUUAUUGAACUGUAGAUUUUGACUUUGAUAUUCCUGUUGAGAUUCUUGAUAAAUUAUGCAUAUGAUUUCUAAAUGCUCGUCACUACACUAAGACUUUAUUCACUUUGGUUACUUACUGAGUUGGUGCACUCACGUUACUCCCUGCACCUUGCGUGCAGAUCCAGGUGCCCGAGCAUCAGAGUUAGAGCUUUCAGCACCUUCAAAGUCUUAUCUGGAGAUUACAAGGUAGCUGCACGGCGUUCGCAGCCCUGCCUUUCUCAUUCCUAUCCUAGCACUUUAUAUUUCAGACUUAUUUUGUAUUAAGCAGACAUUGUUGAGUUGUACUUAGUGUCUCAUGACUAGUGACACCAGAUUCGGGCUGUGUUGAUAUAUUUACGUAUUUGUUUCUGCGUAUUUCUUUGAUAUUUUAAAAACAUGAAAG